rnacentral:rRNA from 1 species
UCGAGGAUCUUCGGCAAUGGGCGCAAGCCUGACCGAGCGACGCCGCGUGUGCGACGAAGGCCUUCGGGUUGUAAAGCACUGUCGAGGGGGAGAAAAGCGAAAGCUUGAUCUAUCCCUGGAGGAAGCACGGGCUAAGUUCGUGCCAGCAGCCGCGGUAAGACGAACCGUGCGAACGUUGUUCGGAAUCACUGGGCUUAAAGGGCGCGUAGGCGGGCUGCCAAGUCUGGGGUGAAAUCCCACGGCUCAACCGUGGAACUGCCUCAGAUACUGGCGGCCUCGAGGAGGGUAGGGGCAUGCGGAACUAUGCGUGGAGCGGUGAAAUGCGUUGAUAUGCAUAGGAACUCCGGUGGCGAAGGCGGCGUGCUGGACCCUUUCUGACGCUGAGGCGCGAAAGCCAGGGGAGCGAACGGGAUUAGAUACCCCCGUAGUCC